rnacentral:tRNA from 1 species
GGGGUUGUGGCUCAGUGGUUGAGCACUUGCCUUGUAUGUGUGAGGCACUGAGUUCAAUCCUCAGCCACCACA